GGGACUGGCUGAAACAUAGGGCCUGAGGGUGAGAUAAGGAAUAUUCUGCAGGUGGUAGGAAUGCUGGCUUAGGUAUUCAAGGAAAACCUGUGCUGAAGCUGCUAGCUUUUAAAAAAAUUGUGCUAUGAAGAUGCUGACAACGAAAAGGUACCCUGGGAUUCCUCAAAGUAAUGUAAAGUACCAUUUCUGGGAAGAAUCACAGAGUGCAUGGCUGGAAAAAAGCACAUCUGAAGAAACACUCCUAAAAAAUAAGCCUCACAAAGUACAAAAUGUGCCAUAACUUUGAUGAGCAUUCAGUAAAACCAUGUAUUUGCCUCAGUUUCCCUCUGGAAAUCCUUAUAAAAGCCUUUCAGC